AGGGCCAUAGCUCAGUGGCAGAGCAUCUGCCUUUCAUGUAGAAGAUCCCAGGUUCAAUCCCUGGUGUCUCCA